rnacentral:tRNA from 1 species
GGGCGAUUAGUUUAGUGGUAGAACAGCUCUCUCCAAAAGAGCUGGCGGGAGUUCGAUUCUCUCAUCGCCCG